AAAGUAGAACCUGUUCAGAGAUCAGAAUGUGAUGCAGGAAAAGAAUGAGCAAUUCUGAAGGAAAAAAAAAAAGAAAAAGGCAAUUAAAGAUGAAAACAAAUAAUAUUGGCAAAUGGAAAAUCACUUUGAACAGGUUUAUUAAGGUUGGAUUGAUUGAACUCCCUCCCUCCCCCCCCCCCCAUUCUGAUCAAUUUUUGGUACUUAAGAAGCACAGAAUUACAAUUUGCUACUUUGCCUUUUUGCCUUUUUGUGUGUGUGUGUGUGAGAGAGUACUUUGUUAUCAUAGAAUCAUGGAAUGGCUUAGGUUGGAAUAGAUAUCAAAGGUCAUCCUGUUUCAAACUCUCUGCCGUGGGCACAGUUGCCACCCACCAGAUAAGACUGCCCUGUGCUCCAUCCAACCUGACUCUGAACACCUCCAGAGUUGGGCCAUUCGUACCUUGUCUGAGCAGCCUGUGCCAGCACCUCACCAUUCUCUGAGUAAAGCAUUUCCUCCUAAUAUAAACAGGUCUUGAUCAAUGCAGAAGGGAAACAUUCUGUCUCUAUACUUGCACAUCAUCAUUGCCUCAACAGGAUUCUGAUUCUUGAUAACUGUAAGAUAUGAUGCAGGCCAUAUUCAUUGUAAGGUGUAAUAUGGAGGGGGUCCAGUGAAGUGCCAUGACUAUAUGGAUCUGGAGCAUUGGUCUUAGAAGCUGGACUUCUAACAGUAUAGAUGUACCAUACAGAAAGUUGCACGUGGACUUCAAAACUCACAUUGUUCUAAAUGUCAUGAGAAUUUCACGAGAAAUGAAAAAAAAACAGCAAUGAGCGGAGUCAUUGCAAAGGUAUUUAGACACUGUGCACAAGGCAAGAGGCCAUCUUACUACCUUUAGGAGCAGAGUUUGAAGAUUUGGUUGUGUCUUGGCCAGUGCCAAGAAAAAAAGUGCAAUAAAAGGAUUGUGUUUAAAUCUGCAGAAACUGAGAUCCAGCCCAAAGCAAGACAGCGUGAAAAUAAGGAGCUGUGGAUCAAGCGGCUCACUGAGUGAGCUCGCCUGCCUGUUAGUCUUCACUGAAUGAAAACUGCUCACCUCACUGUGAAAGAUGCAGCACAAAGGCUUGAUGUAGACUUGGUUCCCUCAGUGUGACCUGUAUUACCUGAGCAGAAGGAUGUCUCAUUUCUGGAUUCUGAUCAUGCUUAGUCCUCAGGUGAUCCAUGAAUAACAACCAGCCCUCCCGGACUACCCUUCUCUCCAGCAGUCACCCAUGAGAUGUUACCAAGCAGAACUCUGAAGUGUCAAAUAUGAUUUUCCCUGCCUGGAGAGGCAUGUAUUCUGUAGCUACUCCUGACAUACCUGUAAACUGCUCUUCCCUAUGAGGUGUGAAAUGGGAGCAGUAAUUACUUCCUGUGCUGCAAAGGCAUUGAGAAGUUUCAAGGCGUGCAGUUCUGGGUGACGGGAAACAAAACUAAACGAAGUAAAAUGUGAUCAGAAAAACAAUGAGAGCAGAACUUGAUCUGCUUGCAGGAAAAAGAAAUAGAGGAUAUGUUUUCUACCCUGAAGAACAGGGUAGAGCUGCAGAGAAGAACAGAAAGCUGCAGGAAAUAAAUGUCAAAGAAAGAAUGACAAAAAGAUCAGGAAAGAAAUAGCCCAGGAUUUCCUGCUGAUGACAGAAAGGAGAAUGAAUAUGCUGAACAGUUAUCUGUAAAAGGCUGCUACAACCUAACAGCAGAUAAAAAAAGAGCUACUCAAGUUCCAG
ensembl:lncRNA